rnacentral:rRNA from 1 species
UACGGAGGGUGCAAGCGUUAUCCGGAUUCACUGGGUUUAAAGGGUGCGUAGGUGGAUUGGUAAGUCAGUGGUGAAGUCUCUGGGCUUAACUCAGAAACUGCCAUUGAUACUAUCAGUCUUGAAUACCGUGGAGGUCAGCGGAAUAUGUCAUGUAGCGGUGAAAUGCUUAGAUAUGACAUAGAACACCAAUUGCGAAGGCAGCUCGCUACACGAAUAUUGACUCUGAGGCACGAAAGCGUGGGGAUCAAACAGG